AGUUCAGAGUUUGAGAACAGCUGCAGAAAUUACUGUGACUCCUCAGUCAGUAGUGUCUCUUCUCCAGGCCAUGUUCAGUUUCCACGGUAACCAACUGUUGUACUAAAGGCAUUAAUAUGACAAACUGACAAUGUUCAACGCCCCCUUCCUGCAACCUCUCUGAAACAGAUCCUGGACAAUGACUUUCCCAGCGUCUCUCACCAUCCUCUGCAGGGCCUGAAUCAGAUACCGAGCUGGAGCUCCCUUGAUGAGAUCUCAGCCCACAGACAACAUCAGUCACCGUGACAACGUCUUGGCUACUCGGGAAAGGAGGAAGGUGAGAAAAUGAGACGCAAAGAGAGAGAUGAGGAGACAAGAAGAGAGAUGGGACUUUCUGAAGAUGGGCAGCAUUUCUCUCCACACAGACAGAGAUUCAGCAGGGAGAACACCAGCUGAGCACUGCUCCAAAGAUAACUCUGCCUUGAUGCUCAUCUGCCCGUCAUCCUGACUGCAGCACAUCUGGCAGAGGAGCAAUCGAUUCAAAUUGAACAUCUGCACAGCUGCAUGGAGCCAAAUAAGCAGUCCUAAUAAAAGCAGGAACA